rnacentral:rRNA from 1 species
CAUGCAAGUCGAGCGGCAGCGCGAGUAGUUUACUACUUGGCGGCGAGCGGCGGACGGCUGAGUAACGCGUGGGAACGUGCCCCAAAGUGAGGAAUAACUGCCCGAAAGGGUAGCUAAUGCCGCAUAUGAUCUUCGGAUUAAAGUAUUUAUUACGCUUUGGGAGCGGCCCGCGUCCGAUUAGAUAGUUGGUGAGGUAAAGGCUCACCAAGUCUACGAUCGGUAACUGGUCUGAGAGGAUGAUCAGUCAGACUGGAACUGAGACACGGUCCAGACUCCUACGGGAGGCAGCAGUGAGGAAUCUUCCACAAUGGACGAAAGUCUGAUGGAGCAACUCCGCGUGCAGGAUGAAGGCCUUCGGGUCGUAAACUGCUUUUAUGAGUGAAGAAUAUGACGGUAACUCAUGAAUAAGGGUCGGCUAACUACGUGCCAGCAGCCGCGGUCAUACGUAGGACCCAAGCGUUAUCCGGAGUGACUGGGCGUAAAGAGUUGCGUAGGUGGUUAGUAAAGUGAAUAGUGAAACCUGGUGGCUCAACCAUACAGACUAUUAUUCAAACUCACUAACUCGAGAGUGGUAGAGGUAACUGGAAUUUCUAGUGUAGAGUGAAAUCCGUAGAUAUUAGAAGGAACACCAAUGGCGUANGCAGGUUACUGGACCAUUUCUGACACUGA